CGGCACUUUCUCCAACAUCACUUCUCUUCUCUUUCCCUUUUUGCCAUUCCCUUCGCUCUCCUUUCCCUUUCAUUUCUUUGAUAGCUUAUCUCAUGGCACACAAUACCACCCACAGGGACCCUUUAACACUAUAGACAACAUCUCCAACCAAUUUUCCCAGCUAAAUUCAAAUCACAAAAACCUCAAAUCUUCCUUAAAACAUCCAUCUGGGCAUUCAUAUUCUUCAGAUGACAACCAUUUAAAGCUCAAAUCUUUGACUGAUUCAGCUGCUUUUGACUCUUCAAGUGCAGCGUUGACCAAGUCAAAGAGCCAACAUGGGAGCUCUAAGGAAAGAAAAUAUGUCAAUGAAUCUCACAACAAAGACCAUGAUAUUGAAAAAGCAAUAGUUGUGCAGAAAAAAGAAACAAUCAAGAAAGUUUCUUCCCAUAAGGGGAAAGAGUUCCACAAAGAGGUGGAUGUUAAAAGGGAAUUUGUCUAUUUGUCUAGGAGUCAAGAAAAUGAAAGGCUAAAGGGGUUUGAACAAGGGGUUGAUGAGAUAAAAAGCAAUCUUUAUUAAGGAGGAAAUCAUUCUGCAGUUCACAGAUUGAGUUGGCUGAUUUCUUCUCUUGUAAUGGUGUGAAAGUUGUAUCUGUAGACAUGCCACUUUUUAUGCAGAUUCAUGAUGUCAAUUGUGCAAGAAAAACUCAUGAUAGCUUGGAAAAGUUCACAUCUAAAGCUCUUGCUUUGACCCUAAAAAAGGAGUUUGAUGGGGUCUAUGGAACAGCAUGGCAUUGUAUAGUAGGGACCAGCUUUGGUUCUUUUGUGACACAUUCUGUUGGUGGUUUUAUAUAUUUUUCUGUGGAUCACAAGCUAUAUGUACUCCUCUUCAAGACUAGUGUACAAAUAGCAGAAUCUAGUUGAAAAAUCUUGAGUUGAAGUUUGUUUUAGUACAUAGGGAAAUUUUGGUUAAAAUGUGAUGUCUACUAUGCAGUUCUGUUCAUUAGAUUUGCUAAGAAAAAUAUGGGUUCAUUAUCAUUGUAAUGUUGAUAAACAAAUGUACAAUGGUAUAAUUCAUCA